rnacentral:rRNA from 1 species
UACGUAGGGUGCAAGCGUUGUCCGGAAUUAUUGGGCGUAAAGAGCGUGUAGGCGGCCAGGUAGGUCUGCUGUGAAAACUCGAGGCUCAACCUCGAGACGUCGGCGGAAACCAUCUGGCUAGAGUCCGGAAGAGGAGAGUGGAAUUCCUGGUGUAGCGGUGAAAUGCGCAGAUAUCAGGAGGAACACCGAUGGCGAAGGCAGGUCUCUGGGCAUUAACUGACGCUGAGGAGCGAAAGCAUGGGGAGCGAACAGG